AGGACUCCGGGAUCAUGACCUAAGCCGAAGGCAGUCACUUAACCAACUGAGCCACCCAGGCGCCCUAGACUGAGUGUUCUUUAUCGAAGGUUCUAUACUGGCUUUAAAUUGUUACAAAUGAAUAAUCAUCCUUCCUAUUCUAUCGGAGCUGGAGAGCACAACUUCCUUUUUGGUUUCUAACCCAGGAAAUUUCUUCAGGAUGCUAUCAUGCCCACUUGCACAAACUGGAAGCCACAAAGACCAGUUUCCUAAGCCCAUUUAGGAGGAGUGGUUCGGCGGCAGACUCUGUUGCAGAGAAUAGCUUGCGCCUGUGCCUCAGACAAGGCAGGAGCGCAGGGGUCUGGGGCCCCCGAGCCAGGAGCUCCAGGGCUGUUCUCACCUGUUUGUUGAAAGGCUGCUGUGGACUACAGGUUACAAACUGCUCUGCUCAGCCCUCAUCUAUGACCCUGUGGGAGUAAGACUCGUGCGCUAGAUUAAACCAGGAGGAGAGGGAAACUCUCUGAUCUCAGAAGCUAAGCAGGGUCGGGCCUGGUUAGUACUUGGAUGGGAGGGAAACUCUUCAAGGUAAGCCUGAGUGAGGUGUUUCUUGAAAGAAUUUAUAGCUCCAUUUAAAAAACUCACUGGCAACCUCUAGUGGGACUAGAUAUUUAGAGCUUAAAACCUAUGGGUCAUAUUUUCCAUGCAUUCAAUGACCCUGUUUUACUGCCUAGGUAUUUUCUUUGGCGUGAUCUUCUUUCUUUCAUCCAUCAUGGUUUCCUGUUGGAUAACUGUAAAGCACAGAAAAGGCAGUAUUACAGAUGAAAAACCUAAGGAGAUGAUCCAUUUACAACCUCAAGAAGACAGCGGUGUAAGGCCUCAAACUCUGCAAACAAAUCAGGAAAACAGCAGGGGUUGGGAGUGCAGUGGCCAAACCUUUGAGAUUCUGAAAUCUAGCAGGCCUCCAGGGGAUCCAAGAGCAGACGCUGAGCCACGGAAAUCACAAGUUUUUGUCCCUCAAGAGGCCCGAUUAAUGCCAACUCUUGAAACAAGGGCCCAGGGAGUUCGGGCAGUGCGGAGUGCCCCACGACACACGGGAGUCGCGAGGGAUGCGGCCCCACGACGACCCGCUGCCUGGGCCUUGGAUGCCUGUGGUGAGCCACCCAAAUAUGAAACCAUGGCCUUGAGGGAUAGCCCUAAAAAGUAUUAUGAAGUUGGGGAGGAAGUAUAUUAUCAGUGUUAUCCAGGAUACUUAACUCUGCGAUCCGUCGUGACUUAUUGUGAGCAAAAUCACUCAUGGUACCCUCUUGAAGAAGCUUGUUUCAGAAAAGAAUGUAAUACUCCAGGACUCGAAAAUGGUGAAGUCUUUGCCCCAAAUUACACCUUUCAAUUUGACAGUGAAGCUUACUUUUAUUGUAAUGAGGGUUAUUACUUAUCUGGAAAAAAAGCUCUACUUUGUGAACUUCGUGGGGAUGAUGUGUUUUGGAGUGAUGAAUUUCCAAAAUGCUAUAGGAUUUACUGUAAACCACCUGCAAAAAUAAAAAAUGGAAAAUACACCAAUAGUCACAGAACUAUAUUUGAAUAUAAUGAAUUAAUUACUUUCAGUUGUAACCCUUCACAAGGACCAGAUGAAUUUUCACUUGUUGGAAACAGCAAACUUAUUUGUGUUGACAAUAACAAGUGGAGUAGUAGCCCUCCUGAGUGUAAAGUGGUCAAAUGUGAUUAUCCAGUAGUUGAACAUGGAAGACUGGUAUCAGGAAUCAGAGACAAAUAUUCCUACCAAGCAGUGGUUCUAUUUGAAUGCCUCCCAGGCUUCUAUCUUAAUGGCAGCAACCCAGUGUUCUGUGGUGGGAGAAGUACCUGGGAGCCUGUGAUGCCAAAAUGUGUCAGAGGUUUCAAGCCUACUCAUCCAACCAAACCUCCAGUUUCAAAGUAUCCAGGCACAGUAAUUCUUUCUCUUGCUUAUAUUGUUAACAACUUUAUAAGGCUAUCCCGAGCCCAAAGACCCACUAAUACUUGAAGACUUUGAGGAAUUAGAUGCAGGAAUCAUUGCUGUGAUUGUCCUUACUAUUCCUACCAGUUAGUGGGUCUUGUAAUCUGAGCCUCUCGUUUAACAUGGCAACAUAAGAGGAUCCUGAACUCACCUCCUCUCAUACACACGGAAUCUACAGCUGCAUCCAGAACAGUUCCCUCUGAAAGAAAUCUGAAAACUAACUUGAUGGCCUCCUACACAUUGGGUGGAUAAAAAACCCACAUCCAGGGGCGCCUGGCUGGCUCAGUUGGUGGAGCAUCUGACUCUUGAUCUUGGGGUGUGAAUUGAAGCCCCACGUGGGGCAUGGAGCCUACUUUAAAAACAAAACAAAACAAAACAAAAAUGCACAUCAAAAUGGGUAGAAGAGACUGAUAUAGUAUCUUACCAUAAAAUCCUCCCCAAAUGUGGUAACCCACAGUCAGGCGGGAACUCACAACUCUGAGCUUCUUCCUGGAAAGGAAAAUGUUUGAACCCCACAUCUGGCACCCCACCUUUUAAGACGUGCACCUGAGAGAUGGGUCCACAAAACAUCUAGCUUGAAAGCCAAUGGGGCUUAUGUCUACAAGGCUAUAGCGAACCGAGAAACAGUUCUUAAAGUGUCCGUGUGGAUUUACUUUGGCUAACCCCCAGGUACAGUGGAGAGGCAGCUGACUGAAAUGCCUGGUCCUUCUGUGAAAGAGACCUAUUUGCUUGUGUUAAAAGCUUUGGGCUGAAGGGCAGAUAUCUAAUGUCACACACACCUAGGACCCAGCUGAAAUACUCUUCAAAGCUCAUGGAGGCUGGAGGGCCCCAUCUUCCUGCCAUCCCUCUGCCUGGCUCUCAGCUGCUGGUAUCUUUCAGAAGGGAGCUUGUGCACACAUCCGGGGCUCUGGUGUUUAUAGCUGUCACCCAGGAACACCCCUUGAUCGCCUGGCACUGGGACCGUAACAGAGAAGGAGCUGUUAACUGGCCACGCCCCAGGACACAGCACAGAGGCAGCAGUCUGAAAUGCGGCCCCAGUCUUUCUGGAAAGGAGGCCUAUUAGCAUACCUGUGUCCAUGAGGCCUGAGGGACAGGCUUCUAUCGAAACACACGGCUGGCUCUGGUCCUCUCCAGAGACCUUGGAGAGCCCACACUAUCUUCCGCCAUCCCUCUGCCAGACUCCACAUUGCUAGGAGCUCGUGCACCUGACUGGUGGCCCGCGGGCCUUAUAUCGGCAGGUCACACAGGGCUGUAACAAAUGGAGAAACUGUUGUCAACCACUGCCCAGUCCAGGACGUAGCACAGAGGUGGCCGACUGAAGUCAUCCCAGUCUUUCUGCGACAGGCCUUUUAGCUUAUCUGCAGAGCUGUGGCCUAAGGAACUGGCUUCUAAUGAAACACUCGUGGGGGAGCCCAAGACAGAUCCUCUCCAGAGACUGAGAGACUGACAGGGACCAUCUUCGAACUCCUACCCUGCCCCAGGUUGUCCGUGUCUCUGGGAAAGGACCUUGUGUGCACGGCUGACACCCCAGCUUUUGUGGCUACUAGCCACAGGACACAUCCCUUGAUAACCGGCCCUGGAGGUCAGCGGGACGGUAGCAAAGGAACAGUUCUUAACUGACUGUCACCACAGGGCCCAGUGCAGAGGGAGCACACAGAAACAUCCAUUGCCCAGCGUUCCCCCGAAAGAGGUAUAUUUGCAUAUACUGGCACCCGAGGGGCUGGCUUCCAACCAGCCUGUGUGCUGACUGGGAUCUUCCUCUCUGGGACACUGAGAAGUCUUGACACACCCUCAACUCCUGAGAGCCACUGACAACAAAGUAGGCUGCUAGGACAAUCCCAAAGGUUUGAGAGACAACCAAGAGCUAGGGCAGGGUUGAACAGUUAAGUUAUAUCCCCCACACCAGGGUGCUGCUUUAGGACUGGGAGAGCUGUUUUAUCGAACGCCUAGAAACCAACAAGGUCAAGGAAAAUGAAGAAACAAAGGAAUAUGUUCCAAAUGAAAGAACAAGAUAAAGCCUCGAAAAAAGGUCAUAGUGAAAUGGAAUUAGUGAUUCACCUGUUCAUCAAUAGAUGAAUGGAUAAUGAAACAGUGGUACAUAUGCAAUGGGAUAUUAUUCAGCCAUUAAAAAAAGAGGAAAUCUUGCUAUUUGUGAAAACAUGGAUGGAUGUUGAGGGCAUUUUGCUGAGUGCAAUAAGACGGAGAAUACAAAUAGCAUAUGAUCUCACUUAUAUGUGGUCUUUAAAAAAAAAAAAAUA